UUCCCCCUUUGUUACAGAAUUACCAUGUGGUUUCCCCCUUUGUUAUAGCAUUAUCUCAGUUUUACAGAGGUACAUAACAUUCCUAUCACCAAACUAAUAAAAUUGAAACAUUUGUUGAGUAUUUCCAAGUGU